rnacentral:lncRNA from 1 species
UGGAGAGAUACUCUUGUUGAAUAAAUGGGCUGCACAAGCUUUAGUAAUUCCAAAGUAAUUUUGAACUGGGUUCUCAGCUAAUUAUUUUUUCUUGAUGUUUUAAUUGUUGUUGUUCCUCGGGAAACCAGGAAACAGAUCGUACUUGGAAUUUGUGGCACCUGGGCACAAAUUGUGAGGCAGUGAUUCUCUUUGAAUUUUUUGCUUGAUCAUGUUCCUCACCUUGAAACACACAUGCUUUUUUGGAGCCACACAUGUUUCAUUUAUCUGAUUAUUUGUCCUGGUUUGUGUCUGUGUGUGUGUAUUUAUUUAUUUGUUGCCAUGUAAGCAUUUGGGACUAUGCAAACAAGGACAUACACUUGGCUUUUGCUGCUUAAAUCACAGUCCUAAAACCAAGAAGUAUCUGGGCAAUACAUAUCCAUGGCAUUGGACUACAAUAUGUCUGAGUCAUCAAAAUACAACAAGACUAGUUGUGUGCCUUGCUCAGCCAUCACACACACACACAUGAACAUUGGUGAGAAAUGUUGCCAUGCAUGUUGAGCAUCUUUCUGAAACACAGAUAAUUUAAUUUGUUUUAUCAUAUCUGAUUUUCUUAUUCUUUUUCUUCACAGAUUGCUCUAGUUGCUUCCCCCUCACACACACAUCCAAAAUAUCUUGAAGCCAGUUCUCUGAUGCAAAGAGGCACCACCUUCUUCUCUUUCCAGCUCUCUCCUUUGACCUAAAUUCCAUGUAUUGCAUCCAAAGCAAUUCACAACUGAACACCUGUUGCUUUGGUGACCACAUCCUGUCACACACACACACACACACACACAAACACCAAAAAUAUCAUUCCUAUUCAUCCCCCAACCUGUUUCGUCUGUCUACUCAUCUGUCCAUCCAUAUUGUGAAGAAAGGGGUAGCAAUAUCCAUCCACAAAGUGACUCACUUUGUGAAGCCCAAGGAAGCCCACUUUCAACAAAAUGGAUCAUUUCAGGAACAUGCAGUCCCAACACACAGAAUGCAGUUAAUUUGUUUGUUCCUUUUGAGUUAUGUGUGUAGGUGCCAUAAUCAGAGGUUUGGGGUGUGUUUUGUGUGUGAUUAGGACACACUUUGUGAUUCUCAUUCCACAGUGGAAGAAUAUAUAGAUUUUUAAUGGUAGUGGGGGGUGUGUGGGUAUGUAGAAUGGCAGAAGAUUUAGAACAAAUUCCAAAGCAGAUUCCAAACAACAUUCCACUGCCCAGUGACUCAGUUGGGUCCAUAACCCAACUGCUCUUCAAUUCAAGACAAGUAAUCUGUACAAGCCCAGUUACCAUGACAUGCGCCUGACUGUAGGAAAAGUCAUUUCACAACAAAAAACCAAAAAUCAAUAAAGUACACAUUGUGUGAAUAAGAAUCAGUUUACAUCAUUCAUUACAUUCUUGGUUUGAUUUGGAAUGAAGUUUGACUUGUCCACUUACUGAUAUUUGGUAGACAACAAAUGUCAUAUAAAUAUAUACAUGUAUUUUUAUUUGUUUUAUUUAUGUUAUUGAAUACUGUGGGUAAAUGGGUAUUUACAAACUGUGUUCAAUGAGUCUUCCUCCAUCUCCUUCAUUCUGACACAUGAAUUUCUUUGUGUAGUCUCUUGGCUGAAGGGAAGGGGCAUGAUCUUUCUUCAUCCAUUAUAGCUCCUCUUUAAAAACAGCACCCCCCCCCACCUUCCCCUUUAAUUUCUACAAGUAUACCUGAUCUGUUUGGCAUUAUCUUCUGUGGGAUCCUUUACAAAUGUGGAUUUCAUUUGUCUUGUUAAUGGAUCCAAUAAUGGGGGCUGAGUGACUGUGGCUAGGAAAGAGAGGGCCCCUUUGAAUGGAUAUGUUUGUUGUGUAAAGUUUGACAGAAAAAAGAUGAGAAAAGCUCUAAAAAAAAGGCAAAGAAAUAAUAAUAAAAAACAGGCAAAGAAGUAAUGACAAAUUUCUGAUUUUGGUUGGUAAGAACAAAGACUUUGAAGCAUAGAGUUGAAUAUCAUGUUAUGGAUAUGAUCAUUAGAAUUCUUAUGACCAUUUCAUAAGUGGAAGAAUCCCACACCCAAAAAACCCAUUAAAAAAUAAAUAAACAAAACACUAAACACAUCACACAUAUAUUCGAACCACCCAAAACGACAGUAACAAAAAACAAAAAAAGAAAAAAAAAGAAAAAAGAGAGAGUGAGAGAGAGAGAGAGAGAGAGAGAAAAGAGGUAAAAUCACCAUCAUCUGUAGAAUGCACACACAAUCCCAACACAGAGAAAUGGAAAAUCGUUUUAACCAGGCAAGCAAAGGCAAAGGCAAAGGCAAAGCAACAUCAUCAUCAACAACAACAUCAACAAGAGGAGGAGGAGGCAGGGGCCCAGAAAUAACCCAAACUGGACCCUCAUACGGAAUACUACAACAAUAACAACAACAAUACAAACAGAGUAGUAUAUACGAGAUACGGAUACGUAUAACGGAAGCAAGUAUAUGGAGGUAAGCUGAGGCAGAAGAGGCAGUGAACGAACACCAGUUGCAGCUCCAUCCGUGGUUUUGUAGUGUAGUGUUGUAGUGUAGUUAGUGUGGCAAGGCGUCGUCGUCGUCGUCGUCAAGUGCCCCACCAUGGCACCUCCAGCUCCAGCUUUAGCUCCAGCUUCUUCACCAUAACCAU